rnacentral:rRNA from 1 species
UACGGGGGGGGUAAGCGUUGUUCGGAAUUACUGGGCGUAAAGGGCUCGUAGGCGGCCAACUAAGUCUGAUGUGAAAUCCCCUCGCUCAACGAGGGAACUGCGUCGGAUACUGGCAAACUCGAGUACCGGAGAGGAAGGUGGAAUUCCUGGUGUAGCGGUGAAAUGCGCAGAUAUCAGGAGGAACACCGAUGGCGAAGGCAGGUCUCUGGGCAUUAACUGACGCUGAGGAGCGAAAGCAUGGGGAGCGAACAGG